AACGAACGCUGGCGGCAUGCCUAACACAUGCAAGUCGAACGAGACCUUCGGGUCUAGUGGCGCACGGGUGCGUAACGCGUGGGAACCUGCCCUUAGGUUCGGAAUAACUCCCCGAAAGGGGUGCUAAUACCGGAUAAUGUCUUCGGACCAAAGAUUUAUCGCCUUUGGAUGGGCCCGCGUUGGAUUAGCUAGUUGGUAGGGUAAAAGCCUACCAAGGCUACGAUACAUAGCUGGUCUGAGAGGAUGAUCAGCCACACUGGGACUGAGACACGGCCCAGACUCCUACGGGAAGGAGCAGUGGGGAAUAUUGGAAAAUGGGCGAAAGGCUGAUCCAGCAAUGACGCGUGAGUGAUGAAGGCCUUAGGGUUGUAAAGCUCUUUUACACGGGAUGAUAAUGACAGUACCGGGAGAAUAAGCUCCGGCUAACUCCGUG
rnacentral:rRNA from 1 species